rnacentral:tRNA from 4 species
GACUUAGCUCAGUAGGUAGAGCAACUGACUUGUAAUCAGUAGGUCACCAGUUCGAUUCCGGUAGUC